rnacentral:rRNA from 1 species
UACGUAGGCAGCAAGCGUUGUUCGGAAUUACUGGGCGUAAAGAGUGUGUAGGCGGUGUUCUAAGUCUGUUGUGAAAUCUCCCGGCUUAACUGGGAGGGUGCGGCGGAGACUGGAAUGCUAGAGUAUGGGAGAGGUAAGCGGAAUUCCUGGUGUAGCGGUGAAAUGCGUAGAUAUCAGGAGGAACACCUGUGGUGUAGACAGCUUACUGGACCAUGACUGACGCUGAGACACGAAAGCGUGGGUAGCAAACAGG